AUACUCAGCGCAUGCGCCAGAAGCCUACUGCGGCGAUCUCGGAGAAGCAGUCCUUUAACUUGCAUCAGCACUGCGGCUUAAGGCUACGCUGGUUCUCUUUCGCCAGUCCAGUUCUACCUUGGCCUGUGGAGCCACCCUAGACCCGCGGAAUCUGUGCCGCUGCUCCCUCUACCCUCUCUUCCGGCGGCCAGCACUAAGAAUUUGUGCUACGACGCUCGAUUCAGCCAGAAGGUGGCACCAAGUGUGAUCAGAAGCCAUGCCACUGGUGAAGAGGUAUAUUGAACCCUGCCUGGCCCAGUGAGGUUACUAGAGAAUUGGGAGAGGCUUAGAUCAAUGUCCUGCGCAUGGCUAUCUACUCAUUGUGAAGUCUUGAAAAUCACCUGGGAUGCCCGUUAAAAAUGCAGAUUCUUGGGCAGCCAGAACCUUGUCAUUGGUCAAGAGCAACACUAAGACCUACCUGUCACUUAUGUUGAGGCUUCUUGCCCAGUGGGUUCAUCAGCAAGCCAGAAUGAAUCGCCAUUGCCAUGGAUGUCCUUGUGAGGCAGUUGGGAAUUCUUGUCACAGAAGCUGCAAUGAAUUCUCUCAUGGCCCUGAAGUAUGGUUUGUUCCCAUGGAGAAGAACCUAACAGAAGAUUGAUAGCGUGGACAUUUCUGGCAUCAGGGAUGAGGUUUCAGGUGUACCAUACAGGGGUUCAGCAACUCCAUAUAUUUAUUACUCAGUGUUCAACUCAGUGUUCAUCAAGGAGACCUUUAGAAACAACUUGUCAAGUCCUCACCAUGACUACCAUUGGAAUUGCAGUUGGAAUGGCAUUGAAUGCGUAGAUUUAAUUUUUGGAGAGCUAUCGUCUUUAUAAUCUCCUCAUACAUGAAUGUGAAGUGCUUCCUCCAUCCUGCAAGCUUCUGGGAACUCAGUGCCCAUUGUGUACAGGAUAUGUACCCAUUGAAGACCUUCAUGCCCUCCAAUAUAAGGCUAACUGUGUUCUCACUACAGAAGUUUAGAAUCAGAGAGUUUCUUCUCUCUGCUGCCUUUUGAGCUGCGGCACUAUGCUGGGAGAUGGGACUAUGGAGACGAAUUUAGGCACAGUCCCUGCCCUCAGGUGUUCUCAGUCUAGUGAGAGGGUUCGACGUGUACACAGAUAAUUACAACAGUAUGGUAUGCUCUACAAUAGAGGUUGGGAAGCCAGAUGAAGUUUGUCCAUGCCCUGAUCACUAAUCUAUUGCCUUUGCUCUUAUUUCCAAAUAGAAACCUGUUGAAAAGUUGUGUUACAUCUGAAUAAAGGUUACUCUAAAAAUGUAGAAAAAAUGCUUUGGAGUUGGUCAAAACUGGACUUGAAACCUGACUCAACUGCUUACUAGCUGUGUGAUCUAAGGCAUGUUUAUUACUUAACCUCAUUGAACCUCAGUUGCCUCAUCUAAUCAUAAUUAAUUUGCAGGGUUUCUCUGAGGAUAUUUGUCAAGUGUAUGUCAUAAGCACUCUAUAAAUCAUAGCUAUCAUUGUUAGUUUUUGGGAUACUCACCAUGUGACAGAGACAACAGCACGCCCUGGUGGCUGGGAGGACUGCAUGGAUCCAUCCUCAACCUGGAGUUGUGCUCUUCUGAAGAAAUCCUACUCGGAUGGAUAUAAUACAACCUGCUAAGUGUCCUAGCACUUAUCAGGUUGUAUUAUCAUUGUCCGUGUCUAUGGCUCUCGUCUACCAGACUCUAAAUUCCUUACAGGCAAGGACAGUGCCUUAUUCAUCUUUGUAUUCGGUGCCUAAUCCCGUGCACAUUGUAGGCCUCAUUAAAUGUUUGUUGAAUGAAAAACUGAAUCAUCAACAGACAUUAAUUGGGCGCCUGCUCUGUGAUCUCCAUGGGCUCAGCUUUUUCCCGCCAGUUGCCUACAACGUCCAAGCUGUCUUCAAUAUGCUUUCUCCUGAAGCUUACUCCUGUCUUCUAAUUCUUUUGCUGAGGACUUUUCUGUGUAGUGCAAGGAAAGCAAAUAUAUUUACUUCAUCUCAAGUACCAUCUCCAACUGAUUGAGAGUACCUGCCUUGAUUGUGUUUAUAAAAAGGAUUCUGAAGCCAGGUCUCAGUUCAGUGUGAAAGAGCGUUAUGACUAAUAAGCAGUGUUUGCCAAGGGUGGGGGAGGGGGGCAUAACAGCACAAGGGCCAUAUCUGUGUCUUAUUUGAUACUAUGUUUUCCGUGAAAUACUCUGUUUCUAUGCCUGCAUUUUAGUCUUGGCUACUUGCAGAUGUUGCAUGGCUGCCGCUGCCGCUGCCCCUACUACAGUUGCUGCUGGUUGCUCCCUGGGUAGGACCAAAGUGAUCAUUGAUCAGAAACUUCAUCCUCACAGUCUGGGGUUUGCUCCUGUGGCUGGUAUUCACAGUUUCCCCUUUCAACUUUACCUCAGCUAUCCCCUUACCUACCACACUGACAGGUAGGCUUCCCCUUUCCGUUCACCACCCAAAAGGCUCAUAUUUCUUUUCUUAUUUCGUAUGAUUAAUUGUACUUGUUCCAUGAGAAGCCUUCUUUCUGUUAGAAGAUGUGACAACUAGAAUACAAGUUAAACGAUUCCAUCAGGGCACUACAGUGAGUCAUAUAAGCUUCCCCUUUACUGUGGGAGAAAAUUGCAGACUUUAGGGCAGGAAGAACUGAGAAGGGAUGUGCGUUGUAGAUGUGGGAGAGGAAGACGAUAGCAGAUGGAAUAAGAUCCUGGGAAACGAUGUAGGUUGGGAGGGUGAAACCUGUGCCUCUAAAAUAGGAAUGGAGGGUUGAUAGCCUUGGUUGAAAGGAGUUUACCUCCUCACUGGAGCGUAGGGAUAGGAGUCAGGAAGAGUAGCUGAGAGGGUUGUUGAAGAUUUUUAAUUGCUGAGGUGAGUGAUGGAGAGGAAGCUGACCCGGGACAGGAUUAUGGAGACAAACCAGAGUCUAAGGACUAUUCGGGCCAAAAGGCUGGAGUGGGGCCUUUUGUUAUGUUAAAGUGGGAUACUAUCAUAUUAAAUGAUAGAUCAUACAUUCAGUUAAAGUGAGAAGCCAGUUUGAAACAUGAUUAGAAACUCAGGAAAUUAUAAAGUGGUCUUAGGCCACUGUCACAAGUAAAUUUGAUUGCCUAGGACCAGCCUUCAUUGACUGAGGAGUGGACAGCUAGCAAGAGAAGGGUUACACAGAAAUGAAUUUGGAAAUCCAGGCUAUAUGUGGAAGGCAGUUAGGUCAGAAGUGAGCUCAAAAGUCUGAAUACAAACAGGACUUGGUGUGAUCAAGAUGGGUGUGGAAUAGUUGGAAAAUUGCAAUAAUAGGACCUGUAAUCAGAGAGUAGAUUUUUAGAGAUUUCAAAACUGGAGUGGUCAAGAUACUUGUGAAACUGGGAUGUCAGAUAGUCAGCUACAUAAAUACUGAAGUGAGCCAGGAUUAUAGCAGAAGCUGGACUGGGAACAAACACUGGGGGCCAGAUAGAAUAGGCUUUGGUGCCUGAGGAGUGGUUAGAGCUUGGCUCAUGGCAGUGGUGCAGGUGCAAAAGAGGAAAGGAUGUGGCGGGAUAGUAGUAGGAGCCGCAAAAGACUGGCAGGGAUUAUUAGAAGUUACCCAAAAAAAAUUUAAUUUGCACGUUGCACUGUGGUGUUGGCUUGCAGAAGGCCCAGCUAAAACGAUCCCCUCAUUUACUGAGCUCCUGCUCUCUCCCUGGCACCUUGCUCUGUACUCUCCAUUUACCCUCUUUGGGUCUAUCACAUACCAGGUGUGUGAGAGAAUGAGCAGCGGUCCCAAGCAAGGACAGCUAGGGUAGCUGCUGGCCCUCAGAACUGAUGGAAUGCUGUGGCCACCUCAGCAGACUGGGCAGCUUGAAGUGGCAUAAAAAGAUUUCCUUAGGAUCAGAAUUUUCCCUUGACAUUGACCUAACUUUAUUACAUGGUACAAGCUCGUGUUAGCUAUUCCAUAAUGUACUCUGGCUUCCAAGCCUCUGAGUUGGGGAGUAUGCUGGUACUGUCCUUUAAAAAACAAAAACAGGCACAACACUUGAAAAAACACACAUAUUGAUUAACUCUUAAAUAAGACAGUCUGGUUAUCUAUUUGAGCUUUUAAGAUAAAGGAUAGAUCAAAGAAAGCUCACAUCGAUGGGUGAAUAACAAAACCACUUUGGAAAACCACUCUGAGGUUAGGAUUGUCCAGUUUAGGGGACUUACUAUAGAGAACCGCUGUGCUGUUGGGAAGGAGGGCUAGAAAUUGAGGCAGAAAAUGUCCCUUAGGACCCAGAAGGUCAAGUUUAGGAGAAGAGAGUCUCUCUGUGAACCCUGUGACAUUGCAUGUAGUCAUUUUUCUUCAGUUACAGUCUUCACAUGAGUUAUGAAAUUUCAAUGAAGGUUUAGAGCCACUGUGAUAGAGAGACCAGGCCCUCAGACAGCCCAUCCCCUCCUUUGGGGGCUGCUUUAUAUUUAUUCCUCAGGAGGAUCUGGUAGAAGACUUCGUGGGGGGAGAAGAAAAGGCAAGAAGCGGACAAGGACUACAGCCUGUCUUCAUCUCAACUUCACAAAGCAUGGUUCAGCAGAGGGAUCAUCCUCUUGAGACUCUCCAGACCACAGGUUGCUCCUUUCAGUUGCAUGCUUAGCCCUCUCAGGUGUUCAUCUGCAGAAUGAGUCCAGUACUUGAAGAAGUAAGAGGACAACAGGCAUCAGGGGACAACAGUGUGGUCUUCUAACUGAAGAUGGCAACAGAAAAGAUCAUGGACUUGGCUGGUUUGGGCUGGGCUUAUUUGCUGUUUCAGAAUUUAAAAAAUACUUUUUUUUUUCUUGACAGUAAAAGUAACAGAUGAUCAUUGUUGAAAAAGGUAUAAAUAAAAAAAUCAAGAACACCUGUAAUCUUACAACCCAGAAAACAACUCAACAUUUGAGUGUUUCCUUUUGCCCUUUUAAAAAAGAAUCUCUGUAACACAGUUUUUCACAUUUUUAUUUUAAUUUCAGUUAGUAAACCUGCAGUGUUCUGUUCAUUUCGGAUGUACAAUUUAAAAACAAAAUUGACAUCAUAUUGCAUGUUUUCCAUUUUUCUUUAUUUGAAAAUAACGUAUUUCCAUGUCAUUACCAUUCUUUGAAAACACAGUAUUGGUACAUGGUAUUUCAUAGGGAUCUAACAAAAUUUAGGUAGAUAAUUGAAUGCUGCUGGACAUUUUGCAUAUUACCAAUUUUGCCUAUAAAAUGUAAUAAACAUUGUAUAUUAA